rnacentral:rRNA from 1 species
UACAGGGGGGGCAAGCGUUGUUCGGAAUUACUGGGCGUAAAGGGUCUGUAGGUGGCUUGCUAAGUCAGACGUGAAAUCCCUCAGCUUAACUGGGGAACUGCGUCUGAUACUGGUGAGCUUGAGUGCAGGAGAGGAACGCGGAAUUCCAGGUGUAGCGGUGAAAUGCGUAGAUAUCUGGAGGAACACCGGUGGCGAAGGCGGCAUUCUGGACUGCAACUGACACUGAAAGACGAAAGCCAGGGGAGCAAACGGG